UAGCGUAGGGGGCAAGGCGUUUGUCCGGGAUUUACUGGGCGUAAAGAGCGUGUAGGCGGCCAGGUAGGUCUGCUGUGAAAACUCGAGGCUCAACCUCGAGAUGGUCGGCGGAAACCAUCUGGCUAGAGUCCGGAAGAGGAAAGUGGAAUUCCCGGUGUAGCGGUGAAAUGCGCAGAUAUCGGGAAGACACCCGUGGCGAAGGCGGCUUUCUGGGACGGUACUGACGCUGAGACGCGAAAGCUAGGGGAGCGAACAGG
rnacentral:rRNA from 1 species